AGAACGAACGCUGGCGGCAGGCUUAACACAUGCAAGUCGAACGGUUGUAGCAAUACAGCAGUGGCAGACGGGUGAGUAACACGUGGGAACCUUCCUAGGGGUACGGAACAACUCAGGGAAACUUGAGCUAAUACCGUAUACGUCCGUAAGGAGAAAGAUUCAUCGCCCCUAGACGGGCCCGCGUAGGAUUAGGUAGUUGGUGAGGUAACGGCUCACCAAGCCUACGAUCCUUAGCUGAUCUGAGAGGAUGAUCAGCCACACUGGGACUGAGACACGGCCCAGACUCCUACGGGAGGCAGCAGUGGGGAAUCUUGGACAAGUGGGCGCAAGCCUGAUCCAGCCAUGCCGCGUGAGUGAAGAAGGCCGUUUCGGGUUGUAAAGUCUACUUUUACCAGGGACGAUAAUGACGGUACCUGGAGAAUAACGCCCGGACAAACUUCGCG
rnacentral:rRNA from 1 species